CAGAUUCUGCUGCAGUUUCUUUUGCAUCUUUUCCAUAAUUAUGUCUCUACCCACUCAUUUUAGAAGCAGUGUAGUUUUUUCCUGGAGCCUCUGGAAAGGCUGCCACACUUCCUGAGCAGCAGAUCUUUGCACUCCCAGCUCCUUUCGGACACAGAGCCUUGGGGACAGCUUCUGCCGGGCAGACCCCACAAAGAACAGAAACGUAAUAAAAGACAAAGCUGCAGUCGCAUUUCAUCCUUCCUUCCAGGGCGUACUGUAACCAGCCUUCAGUUGGGAAGCAGGAGGGAAAAGGAGUCCAAAGGCACCAGAAACAGCAACAGCAAUUCCAGGUGCAGGCACCACAUUUAUGGACAUUAGCUAAUUAGGCCUUCCAGCAUCCCUGCAAGCCAGGUGUGUGAACAUCUCCCCCAGCUUUUCAUGCAUUUAUGCACAUCCUUCCAUCUGCAACAUGCAGCCUGGACACUCCAGACAUCAGCGCCUACUCAAAGGAGCAGCCCUGCUGGAUAGGCGCUGUUCAGACAAGGCUGCUGCCCACAUUGUGCUCUUUCCCCAUGUAUUGCUUGCUGCCUGCCCAACAGGGCUGGUCCCGUGCACCCGGAGGAUACCCACGUCCUGCCCCACUGCACCCCAAGGCCCCAGCAGCUGCAGUUCCUCUCGAGGGGCUGAGCAGGGCAGGGGCUGACGGCUUCAGCAAGGACUCACAGCCAGCAGAGACGUCCUCCAACACUUCUGGGUUUUCACUGGUCACUUGCAGUAGUCCAAAGCACAUAGAAUAUUUAUUUGCUCCUAAUUAGGAGUAAUCACCACUUAACCUAGAGGAGGGAUGUACCCAGUGUGCCCAGCCACUCAAUACACUUACUGCUGAACAGCCUCUGCUGCAGCUAAUUAAAAGAGGAGGGCUCCUGCAAACUUGCAAAGAAAUUGCCAGUUUGUUUUAGUGAGGGGGACCUCGUGUAACUGAGCAACAGAGCUGCUGAUACCUGGCCUCGGUAAUUCAGGGCGAUUUCUUCCUCUCCUCUCCCAUCCAGUGCACUGUCCCCUCGCUCCGUUGUCCCCUGCAUGUCCCCUUGGUAUCUCAGGGUGGGCACUUUGACACAGGGCUGCCCUUUCCCCUGUCCUCCCCUAAGAGCUGGACAGGCUGAAAGAAGGUUGUUAAUAAGACACCCAAUCAACAUUUCUGUAAUGAGAAUUAUUUAACAAAGAAGAGUCUUAAAUGCUUAUUACUAUUCCUCUUUACUGCUUGGAAAUCCUUCAGGGCAAGGAAACUUUCAGCAGAUCGGCUUUGGCUUUGCUCUCCCUGCUGAGCUGCUCACCACGUGCGGAAGGCUGUAUCCAGGAUCAGAUUUAUCCCAACACUCUUCUGGGAAAGGGACAUAACCCAUCACUCCCGUUUCA